AGACGCGUGUUGCGUUCUGUCAAUCGUGCGGCUACGACUGGAAUUGCCCCGUAUCCCCCCCUGAAAAUGGUAUCCUCGGGUUGAAUAUUCAUCCGGAGACAUUCCCACGGCCAUUGUUAAGUGGCCAUGCCGGCUUUCUUCCCUCAAGAACUGUUGAGGAAUCCGUGGAAAUUGUUGGAAAGGUUUUUAUCAGGCUAUUAAAAGUAGUUGCUUUCGUGUGUGAAUAGACGUCAAUCAACUCGAUCAAUUACGCAAUGCAGAUAUUUAGAAGAGAAACGCAAUACUAAUCCGAGGUCGGAAGAAGAAGGGUGGGGGGUUGAGUUUGGAAUGGUGCUAAAAAUAUUAAAAAAAAAAAAUGAC
rnacentral:sRNA from 1 species